rnacentral:rRNA from 1 species
CCUACGGGCGGCAGCAGUGAGGAAUAUUGGUCAAUGGACGAGAGUCUGAACCAGCCAAGUAGCGUGAAGGAUGACUGCCCUACGGGUUGUAAACUUCUUUUAUAUGGGAAUAAAAUGUUCCACGUGUGGGAUUUUGUAUGUACCAUAUGAAUAAGGAUCGGCCAACUCCGUGCCAGCAGACGCGGUAAUACGGAGGAUCCGAGCGUUAACCGGAUUUUUUGGGGUUAAAGGGAGGGUAGGUGGGUUGUUAAGUCAGGUGUGAAAGUUUGCGGCUCAAACGUAAAAUUGCAGUUGAAACUGGCAGUCUUGAGUACAGUAGAGGUGGGCGGAAUUCGUGGUGUAGCGGUGAAAUGCUUAGAUAUCACGAAGAACUCCGAUUGCGAAGGCAGCUCACUGGACUGCGACUGACACUGAGGCUCGAAAGUGUGGGUAUCAAACAGGAUUAGAUACCCCUGUAGUC